rnacentral:lncRNA from 1 species
GGUGAAUCACUCUCUCCGGCGAACCCGUUGUCCUUUACCGAGAGAUUGAUGCCGUUACCAAAAUGAGCUCAGAGAGAACAUAUCUAGAAGCACACGACGGAGCUCUCCGCCGUCGUCAUCAACGAUUUCAUCCUCUUUGAUUUUUCUUUCAUUCUUCAACAAAUCUCUUAUGUCAUGGCUUUUCGGAUUAAUUUCGAUCAUCGUUUUCAGCUUACAAGGUAAGCUAAUAUGUUUCUCUCUUCUUUAUCAAUUGAAUGCUUUUUCUUUUUUAUGUGAUUAAAACUAGAAAUAGAAAAAGAAGCUUGAAUUCAUGGGUUUUAUUGUAUUUUGGGUAUGUCAUUUAUGAAAUAGAAUGCUAUGUCAUGAAUCUUUUAUUGAUUAGAUUGUAAAUGCAUGUCUGUUUGGGAUGUUUAAUUUGUGUUAUGUUAUUUGGUUAUGCACACAAGGUGUUUGAGGAAAUGUCUGUGAAUGAAUUUUGGUGUUUUUACUCAAUGAGAGCGCAGUGGACCUUGAUGUGCUAGCGAGGGCUGACCUUCUCAAGUUCUUAAGUAAGGAAUGUGAGGAAAGAGAUGCUACACGCUGCAAAGAGAUGCACAUUAAAGAUGAAAGCUUAAGAAAUACGAAAUUCUGCCCAGAUUUUCAGUCAAAUUCGACUGCAAAUUGGGAGCAGCUCAUAGUGAUCCAAAAAACUUGCCUUAUAUCAACGGAAAGNN